GGAAUUUUGCGCAAUGGGCGAAAGCCUGACGCAGCAACGCCGCGUGAGUGAUGAAGGCCUUCGGGUCGUAAAGCUCUGUCAGAGGGGAAGAACCUCCCGUCGGUUACUAUCCGGCGGGCCUGACGGUACCCUCAAAGGAAGCACCGGCUACCUCCGUGCCCGCAGCCGCGGUAAGACGGAGGGUGCAAGCGUUGUUCGGAACUAUUGGGCGUAAAGCGCGUGUAGGCGGUCUGUUAAGUCUGAUGUGAAAGCCCCGGGCUCAACCCGGGAAGUGCAUUGGAAACUGGCCGACUGGAGUACGGGAGAGGGUAGUGGAAUUCCGAGUGUAGGGGUGAAAUCCGUAGAUAUUCGGAGGAACACCGGUGGCGAAGGCGGCUACCUGGACCGAUACUGACGCUGAGACGCGAAAGCGUGGGGAGCAAAC
rnacentral:rRNA from 1 species